rnacentral:rRNA from 1 species
ACUGCUCAGUAACACGUGGACAACCUACCCAAGAGUCAGGGAUAACCCCGGGAAACUGGGGAUAAUACCUGAUAGGCCACGACAUCUGGAAUCGAGUCGUGGUUUAAACGCAAGGCUCUUGGAUGGGUCUGCGGCGGAUUAGGUUGUUGCCGGUGUAACGUACCAGCAAGCCUGUAAUCCGUACGGGUUGUGGGAGCAAGAGCCCGGAGAUGGAUUCUGAGACACGAAUCCAGGCCCUACGGGGCGCAGCAGGCGCGAAAACUCUACAAUGCAGGCAACUGCGAUAGGGGAACAUCGAGUGGCACCCACCAUGGGUGUCUGUCCAGCCGUCUAAAAAACGGCUGUUAGCAAGGGCCGGGCAAGACCGGUGCCAGCCGCCGCGGUAAUACCGGCGGCUCGAGUGGUGGCCGAUAUUAUUGAGUCUAAAGGGUCCGUAGCCGGCUUUGCAAGUCCCCUGGGAAAUCCAGCGGCUUAACCGUUGGGCUUUCAUGGGAUACUACAUUGCUUGGGACUGGGAGAGGUAGGAGGUACUCAGGGGGUAGGGGUGAAAUCCUGUAAUCCUCUGGGGACCACCGGUGGCGAAGGCGUCCUACCAGAACAGGUCCGACGGUGAGGGACGAAAGCUGGGGGCACGAACCGGAUUGGAUACCCGGGUAGUCCCAGCCGUAAACGAUGCUCGCUAGGUGUCAGGCAUGGCGCGACCGUGUCUGGUGCCGCAGGGAAGCCGUGAAGCGAGCCACCUGGGAAGUACGGCCGCAAGGCUGAAACUUAAAGGAAUUGGCGGGGGAGCAC